GGGCGGGAACAUUGGGCAUAUCUCAGAUUUUUUCUUUUAAGUAAGAUUAGAUUACCCAAGUGAUAAUGCUGACAUGAGUAACGAUAAAGGGUUUAUACCCUCGCCUAAAGCUUAUGGAAUUUACUUAAAGUAACGGCCUCUAAGUUUAAGUCUGCUAACUUGUAAUAACUAGUACCUGGUUGUUGAUACAAGUAAGUAAACAUCCUAAUGGUAUAAACGAUGAGAAAAUAAAAACUUAGUUUUACAGAUAAAAAUAUAAGCCUAUAAGGUGAACAAUUUUAAAUAAGUUUUAUCUAUAUAAGGUACUAGAUAACUAAAAUAUAAUUAUAUAUAUUAUAAAAAUAGCAUUUUGUGACAAACGGUGUUGAUGUAAUGAUGCUUAUCAUCAUCUUUUAGAUGAAGUGAAGUAAUUGUUAUAUAAAAAGCAAUCAAUAAGUUGUCACUCACAAAGUGAGAAAUGCUCUGGAAAAAUGCAAAACUUUGUCGUGAUUUAUACCUGAGAUAGUUAUAUAUAAGGCGGAUCGUCCCUGUAUAUGCCAUAA
rnacentral:rRNA from 1 species